UACGGAGGGAGCUAGCGUUGUUCGGAAUUACUGGGCGUAAAGCGCACGUAGGCGGCUUUGUAAGUUAGAGGUGAAAGCCCGGAGCUCAACUCCGGAAUUGCCUUUAAGACUGCAUCGCUUGAAUCCGGGAGAGGUGAGUGGAAUUCCGAGUGUAGAGGUGAAAUUCGUAGAUAUUCGGAAGAACACCAGUGGCGAAGGCGGCUCACUGGACCGGUAUUGACGCUCAUGUGCGAAAGCGUGGGGAGCAAACAGG
rnacentral:rRNA from 1 species